rnacentral:lncRNA from 10 species
CUCUCAUUGAAUUUGAAAAUAUUUAAAUUAGCAAUAAUAUCAUAUAUUAAUUGGUCAUGUGGAAAUAGUAUUCAAAUAUAAUAUUGAUGGGUGUGUGAACUGAUAAUUUAUGGAGAGCAAUUUGGCUAUAAUUAUCAAAAUAUAAUAUUCUUUGUUCUAAUAAUUCAUUUCCAGUUAUUUAUCACAAAAAAUAAUAUACUUGAAUUGUCACAAUUAUACUUGUUUAUAUGUUUCCUACAAUGUUGUUUUGAAUGUAGAACACUGGAAAUGAUACAAAUUAUCCUGGCAUGGUGGCACAUGCCUGUAGUCCCAGCUACUGGGGAGGUUGCCUCAGGAGAAUCGCUUGAACCUAGAAGGCAGAGGUUGCAGUGAGCUGAGAUCGCACCACUGCACUCCAGUCUAGGAGACACAGUGAGACUUUGUCUCCAAACAAAACAAAACGAAACAAAACAAAACAAAAAUUUAAUAAUGAGAGUAUGAUUAAAUAAAUAAAUAAAUUGGGGGUAUCCAUAAUGAGAGUUGUGGUCCCAUUAAAAUUAGUGAGGCAUCUUAACUAUGUGCACCCUAAUUUAAGAAAUUGUUAUAUAUGCCCCAAAGUGUGCAUGCACGUAAUUGCAGACUUAGGAAACAGUCCAUAUGAUCACCUUCACUUUUUUUUUUAUUUGAAGAUGGAGUCUCACUCUAUUUUGCAGAUUGGAAUGGCCUGAUCAUAGCUUACUGCACCCUCAAUCUCCUGGGCUCAAGCAAUCCUCUCACCUCAGCCUUCCUAGUAGGUGGGACUGCAGUUGCAUGCCAUCACAGAUGGAUUAUCUAUCUAUCUAUCUAUCUAUCUAUCUAUCUAUUUAUUUAUUUUUGUAGAAACAGGGUCUUACUAUGUUGCCCGGUCUCAAGUUAAUCCUUUCACUUCAGCCUCUAAAUGUGCUGGAGUUAAAGGUGUGAGCCACUGCAUCCCACACUACCCUCACUUUUGAUGUGGAUUUGAAGUUCAGGAGUCUCUAAGACUAUCCUCAAUUUCAGUUAUUCACUAGAAGGUCUAAACAGAAAUCACUGGAAGCUGUUAU